UUGACAGUCCUGGAAAUUGAAUUGCUUUAUUUAUUGACAGAAUAGAUACAGCACGGACACUGUAAGUUUCUUUUCAUCAUUGAGCCAGCAUUCUUCAGCUGUGAGUAGAAAAGAACACCUCUUCUGGUGAGAAAAUACUUUAUUCUGCGUGCUCAUUUCCUUUUUUUGGACUU
rnacentral:sRNA from 1 species